GCCUCUGAAUCCGGAGCUGUGGGAAGCAAAGAGUCGAACUGCAAGAACACAGUGAGAGAAAUGGGCAGAUGCCUUAAGGCUAGGGGAGCUGGGGGAAGGGCGCACGCGAGAACUGAACAGAUACCGCACCAGCAACCAGAAAUCAAGUCCAGCUCAGCAAAGUAUGUUCUUUAAUAUGAGGAGCUGAUUGGUUGUGUCCUCUGCUUCUGCUGACAUCCGAUUAAAAGAAUGAAACAGGAGAAAGAUAGCUUCUUGGAAGCCCUACUUAUGAUCUAAUUAGUGAGUCAGAGAAGGGACUUAGCAUCUCUGACCUUCAUGCUCAACUUCAUGGCCUUUCUGCUUCAGAGUAGAACAAGCAAACUCAGUUAAAAUGCCAGAGAUUUUCAAGGAAUGGAACAAAGAAAGCAGAAUGACAGGAAUGAAAGACACUGAAAAAGUCCUCACUGGCAGUAAUUUAUUCUUGUUACUUCUGCAUACCAUCAACGAUGUUUGCAUCUUCAUCAAGGCUAGACAUCUCUGCCUGUGAACUUGGGAUGGAUGGAAGAUGUCUGUGGAAGGAUGCAGAUGAUGAGACCAUUAAAAACUCAACUGUUAUGGACAGUCUUUUUCAAAUUAUUGUUAUUAUUAUUAUUAUUGUGUGUAUUUUAUUAUUCCGUAGUAUCUGACCACCCUCUCUAUUAAAAAUCAUACUUAAUGUUGUCACUUAUGGUACAGUAUACACAUAGCACCAUAGAAACUAGCCAUGGAGUUAGCCCUUACUACUGCAUGAAUGUCUGAAGGAUAGGUACCAUCAACUAUCCUUCUAUCCUGCAUCAAUUAUCCUGUCUACUGCUGCAUGUCCAUUUUUACCUAUCAUUAAGCUUCACAAAAACUUAAGUUACUUAAAAAUUAAACAUUUAAAAGUUUGUUGACAAAACAAUAAACAUGAAAAUUUUUUCUAUU
rnacentral:lncRNA from 1 species